rnacentral:ncRNA from 1 species
ACGGCGGCGCACUCCCGCACCGCACCGGACGAGCGUGUCGUACCCGGCCAGGCAAAGACGACACGUC